rnacentral:snRNA from 1 species
CAGAGAAGAUUAGCAUGGCCUCUGCGCAAGGAUGACACGCAAAUUCGUGAGAGGUCUGCAUGUAAC